rnacentral:rRNA from 1 species
UACAGAGGGGGCAAGCGUUGUCCGGAAUUAUUGGGCGUAAAGAGCUCGUAGGCGGUCUGUCGCGUCUGCUGUGAAAACUCGGGGCUUAACCCCGGGCCUGCAGUGGGUACGGGCAGACUAGAGUGCGGUAGGGGAGACUGGAAUUCCUGGUGUAGCGGUGAAAUGCGCAGAUAUCAGGAGGAACACCGGUGGCGAAGGCGGGUCUCUGGGCCGUAACUGACGCUGAGGAGCGAAAGCAUGGGGAGCGAACAGG